UGUCUUUAUAUAGUCUAUGAUGUCUUCAUUCCACAAAAAAUCCACACGAUUAAACAUGAAAUUAAUGUACCCAGCUAUGAGGCUACCGCAUUCUUUAACCCAAGAACAAGAAAAUACAUGAAUCAGAGAACUGCAAUUACCUACUUGCUGGUCUAUUUCCUCAUUAGAGUGAAUUUUUUGAGGACUAAAUUGCAUUUCUGUAUCUCUAAUGCUUACCCCCUAUCUCACUGGCUCUGUGUGUUUGAGUGCAUGCGCUGAAUGUUUAUAUCACUUAAUUUCUGUUCGGAACACGCUGUCUCAGCACCAGUAGAUCUGGCCUUAGAGCUAAGGAAAGAAGGCCUUUCUAACCCAAAAGCGGUACUAAUCCUGUACAGACUCCAAUAUCUCCCGGGCUGGGUACACGCAGGUUCACACCCAGGUGUGAGCAAGAUUGCCAAACUAUACCUAUAAGGCGUUUGGAGGAGAGAGUCCAAAAGUCACGAGACCCGGCUAAUUUAGCUACUAUUUCACAACAACCCUGAUCGUGGUCGGACUUGUUUCUAGGAAGAUGCGAUGGGCUGGAACUUCCUUCAAGAACAGAUUGCAAAAGGCAGCCGACCAGGGCGUGGCAGGUCACUGCCAAGGGAAGCAGCAGCGGAAACCGUCGCCUCCGGCUUAGGCUGAGGAGCGGGAACCCCAUUCUCUGAGUUAUGUUUCUGCCUAAACACGCAGAACAAAAGAGUUCGUGGCUGCAAGGGUGGUGCGCGGUAGUAUUUCUUGCUAAUAAAAGGUCCCCACAGGGACAUUUUUGCUAUGACUGCAGGCGUGGCCAGUCUCCCUGCACAGCUUCCGGGAAGAGGUGGGGAUAGGAGGCUCGUCCCGGGGAAGGUCACGCUCGGGGUCCCCAGACCAGGUCUCCGCACGCCCCUGCCCCGUCGCCUCCCGGGAGCGGCUGCAGUCCCCGUUGGCUGCAGACGGGCAGACACCCGAAGUGUCCGCGCCGGCAGCCGGACCGCACGCGAGGAAGAGCGAACCGCGCUCCCGGGCGUGGCCGAAGCGCUUCCUGUGCCAGGUUUCCGGCUCCGGGUCCCGGGAGGAGGAUCGCGGGCCAGAGGCGGAGCCGCCGCCCUGCCGCGACUUUCAGACUCCGACCAUGGCCUCGCGCUGGUGGCGGUGGCGACGCGGCUGCUCCUGGAGGCCGGCGGCGCGGAGCUCCGGGCCCAGCUCCCCAGGCCGUGCGGGACCGUCGGGGCCGAGCGCCGCUGCCGACGUCCGCGCGCAGGUUCAUAGGCGGAAGGGACUUGACUUGUCUCAGAUACCCUAUAUUAAUCUUGUGAAGCAUUUAACAUCUGCCUGUCCAAAUGUAUGUCGUAUAUCACGGUUUCAUCACACAACCCCAGACAGUAAAACACACAGUGGUGAAAAAUACACCGAUCCUUUCAAACUCGGUUGGAGAGACUUGAAAGGUCUGUAUGAGGACAUUAGAAAGGAACUGCUUAUAUCAACAUCAGAACUUAAGGAAAUGUCUGAGUACUACUUUGAUGGGAAAGGGAAAGCCUUUCGACCAAUUAUUGUGGCGCUAAUGGCCCGAGCAUGCAAUAUUCAUCAUAACAACUCCCGACAUGUGCAAGCCAGCCAGCGCACCAUAGCCUUAAUUGCAGAAAUGAUCCACACUGCUAGUCUGGUUCACGAUGACGUUAUUGACGAUGCAAGUUCUCGAAGAGGAAAACACACAGUUAAUAAGAUCUGGGGUGAAAAGAAGGCUGUUCUUGCUGGAGAUUUAAUUCUUUCUGCAGCAUCUAUAGCUCUGGCACGAAUUGGAAAUACAACUGUUAUAUCUAUUUUAACCCAAGUUAUUGAAGAUUUGGUGCGUGGUGAAUUUCUUCAGCUCGGGUCAAAAGAAAAUGAGAAUGAAAGAUUUGCACACUACCUUGAGAAGACGUUCAAGAAGACCGCCAGCCUGAUAGCCAACAGUUGUAAAGCAGUAUGUCUCUGUUCUAGGAUGUCCCGACCCAGUGGUGCAUGAGAUCGCCUAUCAGUACGGAAAAAAUGUAGGAAUAGCUUUUCAGCUUAUAGAUGAUGUAUUGGACUUCACCUCAUGUUCUGACCAGAUGGGCAAACCAACAUCAGCUGAUCUGAAGCUCGGGUUAGCCACUGGUCCUGUCCUGUUUGCCUGUCAGCAGGUUCACUGCCAGGGAAAAACUGGCAACGCUGUAAGCACUGACAUGGCCAAAAUCAAACACAUCUUACCUCUUCCGUGGAGCCAUAGACUGUUAGAGCUCAAGGGCUUCCAGUCAUGAAGAUGAGAAGCCUAAGACCCCAGGGGCUAAGGAAGUCACUCGGCUGUGGCAGCUGGUAGCCAAACCAAGACUAGAGCUCGGAUCUAGGAAGUGAAGUGAUUUGGUGUCCUGGCUUUUGUAUUCUGUUAAUGUUCCCAGAAAUGAAUGCUAUGAUCAUGCGACGGUUCAGUUUGCCGGGAGAUGUAGACAGAGCUCGACAGUAUGUAUUACAGAGUGAUGGUGUGCAACAAACAACCUACCUCGCCCAGCAGUACUGCCAUGAAGCAAUAAGAGAGAUCAGUAAACUUCGACCAUCCCCAGAAAGAGAUGCCCUCAUUCAGCUUUCAGAAAUUGUACUCACAAGAGAUAAAUGACAACUCUUUCUGUUCUUUCUGGCAGCUAUCUUACCAGACUGUGCCUAAAGAAUUUUGUGGAAUACACUUUGUUUGCUUCAUGUGCAAAUAACCAAAAAUCAUUUUAAAAGAUAUCAAACUUAUUGAUGGGCAAUUUAUUUUUUUUAUUGCAAAAGUUUUUUCAGAAAACUUUUUAAAUGUAAUUAAUAAACCACCUGAAUCUGUCAUUCUAGUCCUAUAAAUUAUAAUCAAGGUAUCUUGAUGGUUAUAUGUGGUAUUGUUUACACUGUUAAUAUCCACAUGUAAGGCCAUUACACAAAUAAAUAACCAAUGUUAAAAUUCAAA